GAUGAACGCUGGCGGUCUGCUUAACACAUGCAAGUCGAACGGAGGUAGAAAUACCUCAGUGGCGGACGGGUGAGUAACACGUGAGAAUCUAGCUUCAGGUCGGGGAUAACAGAGGGAAACCGCUGCUAAUACCGAAUGUGCCGAGAGGUGAAAGACAAGUUGCCUGAGGAUGAGCUCGCGGCGGAUUAGCUAGUUGGUGGGGUAAAAGCCUACCAAGGCGACGAUCCGUAGCUGGUCUGAGAGGACGAGCAGCCACACUGGGACUGAGACAAGGCCCAGACUCCUACGGGAGGCAGCAGUGGGGAAUUUUCCGCAAUGGGCGAAAGCCUGACGGAGCAAGACCGCGUGAGGGAGGAAGGCUCUUGGGUUGUAAACCUCUUUUCUUUGGGAAGAAGAAAGUGACGGUACCAAAGGAAUCAGCAUCGGCUAACUCCGUGCCAGCAGCCGCGGUAAUACGGAGGAUGCAAGCGUUAUCCGGAAUCAUUGGGCGUAAAGCGUCCGCAGGUGGUGGGGCAAGUCGGCUGUCAAAGGUCACAGCUUAACUGUGAACAGGCGGUGGAAACUGCCAAACUAGAGUGCGGUAGGGGUAGAGGGAAUUCCCGGUGUAGCGGUGAAAUGCGUAGAGAUCGGGAAGAACACCAGUAGCGAAAGCGCUCUGCUGGGCCUGCACUGACACUGAGGGACGAAAGCUAGGGGAGCGAAUGGGAUUAGAUAC
rnacentral:rRNA from 1 species